rnacentral:lncRNA from 1 species
GGCACAUCUUAUCAUUAUGUGCUAUGGCUGUCAGACAUAGCUACAGGACUUAUUUGUCCUGCCAAGUUAGGAUCUUACUUUGGUCAUAUUUUUGUCUAUGUCUCUAUUUCUUCUUUUGACAUGGGAAGGUUUACCCAAGGACACUGUAUCUUGGGACUAUGUAGCAUGAUUUUACUUUUACAGGGCCUCCCAGCUAAGAAUUUACCAUGAGUCUCAGAGGAGGCUUUGGAAUUAGUCUUGGAAGCCAUGCUGGAACUGCUGAGACUUUAGAGGAUUUUUGCUUAUCCAAUUCAUAAAGAACUCCAUGUGACGCUAUCUGAGCAAAGCAUUUUCUGGGAAAAGAAAAAAGACAAGAGUUAGUAAAACUAGGUCAUCUCCUAUAAGAGUUAUAAGUAUGAAUAUGAUUGACACAUAGUUCCUGCCACCAAGAAACUUUCAGUUCUCAGGAAAAAAGAUGACAAAGAAAUACAGAAACAAUGAAAAAAUGCUCACCAACCUUAAAAACCCCCACAAAAUUCAGUGUAGUAGGAGGAAAGGAGGAAAAUAGACUUAAAUGAUAGAGUUCUGAAAAAGUUCAUGAAAGAGUAGAACAUUGGAUGAAUUAUGAAAACUGCAUCAAUAAAACAGAAAUAGUGUGUUGAAAAAUAAUCCUGUUUGCUUUCUUACAUACUGCUUGUGUUGUACCUACCUUUGUUCUGGUUGAUUUUUUCAAGAAUGUCUACAUGCAAUCAGCUUUGGAAAAUGUAGUAUCUGUAUAUGAAGCAGAAUAAAGAUUAUGUUUUCCUCAAGGUCAUGCAGAUUUGAUUGCAGCCUCUUAGAGAAGAUUUGGGUCCCUAAAUGUGGGGUUUUUUAGCCAUAAUGCAAAAUUCUGUAUAUGCAACAUUAACCUGGACCUCUUUACAUGACUUCUGUGUGACUUAGAGUAUGAAAGAACCGACAUAAGCUUAAAAUUCAUUGUUGUGACAUGAGUAAUAAAGUCUUUUGUCAUACUUCUAGCCACUAAUAUAUUUCCAGAAGUUGAAUAUUGCCCAAUAAUGAACUCAGUGCCUUUUGUCUUAAAGUUUUCUACCAUACUCCUUCUAGUAUAAAUAUCUGUAGUGAUCAGGAUAAACUAAAUUAUGCUGUAGUAGCAACAUGCUCACAAUCUAAGUGACUCAGUCCUUUAAGAAUGUAUUCCUUACUCACACAAAAUUUACUUGGUCACAGUGGCUAUUCAAGAAAACUUGUCUCCAUUUGGUGACCUAGAAAUCAAGACUGCUUCAGUGUUGUGGUAUCUCCAUUCUAACAUGACCAUCCACCAAAAUUCCAAAGAGAUUGAGUUUCACAUGACACAAUUAAAUGACUUUUCUUGGCAGUGACACACAUUACCUCAGUUCCAUCUAGCAAAAAGAGACAGAAAGUUUAAUCUCUAUAUGCACAAUACAUGAAAAGGGAAUUUAAAAUGAGUCCUGAUUUCUCUGUCUUUCAACCCUACCUCAAAUCACAGAAGGGAAAACGCAUCCUGGUUGUAGUUGUAAAGGUGGUAAUUUUGUUGUCAAAUGAAAUGAUUCUCCUCCCACUGUUCUGAUCAAUAAUUGCCACCUCUGGUCACUCGUCCAGUUGUCUUCUCUUUCUUUACUACUUCUAAAAACAAGGAUUUAUUCUACUUCUUUCAGUAAUCCUCACUAGAUUGAUAGCUGUAUGCCAUCUUUUGCCUUAGCAAAUAUUUUUUACUUGCUGCUUUGACAUUAAAACUUUGGUACAUUUUUUCUAAAAAAAAAAAAGAAGGAAGCUAUGAACAAGAAGAAAUUUGACAUGAUAUAAUUUAACCCUAAUUAAUGCUCUUAGAUUGUUUAAAAAUUAAUCGACUAGUUUUUUCUUUUAUACCAUACAAGAUAAUAUCUGAUAUGAGAACAAAUGAGAAUUUUAAAAAUUACCAAUAAAACAGUCUAAUUUUCAGUUUACAUUAUUUUCUCUCUCUUUUUGCAUUAUUUUCUUUAUAUAUUCUUUAUGCC